rnacentral:tRNA from 1 species
ACCUAGCUGGCUCAAGUUGGUAGAGUAUGCGACUCUUGAUCUCAUGGUUGUGAGUUUGAGUCCCACGAUGGGUG